AGACAAUUUCCUCAAUCGUCCUGGCUCAAAAUGAGCCAAGAAUUCAAGCAGACAAUCUACUCAAAAGGAAUCCAUUUCCUCUCUUGGCCACACAUCAGUUGUCUGAAAACAGUUGGCCUGUGGCGAUGCCUCACUCCAACUGCCACACUGAUCCACACAUCUUGUGUCCAAAGCAGAACACAAGUGUCCAUGGGAGGUUGCACAACACAGAGCCAAGAGAUGCCUGUGUCCUCCACUGAGCAUUCCACAGGGGAAGGGGCCUGGUAAAAGGAAAAGGAUGGAGGCAGUGUUUGUUGAGCGCUGUGGUGGGUGUGAACCCACAAGCCCGCAGGGGAACCAGAACUCUCAUGGGCUCCUUCAGGGCUGGGGUGGGGCCUCUUAGAGGUCCCAGGGCCUGUGCACGGGCCCCCAUGGCAUAGGGACAGGAGGCAGCCCUCCUCUCCUCUUGGCAUAGUUCCUCCCCCCGUCAAUGUUCACAUCACCAAACACAUUCUGUCUAAGGUGGGGUCAUCAGGACCACAGGCACUGGUUGCUCUGGGAACUACUGCCUCAUAGCAUUUUAUUUUGCUCAUGACUCAAGAUAAUCAGGAUUUUAGGAAAGACCCAGCUAGGAAGGUCCCAGGAGGUGCAGGCCGGGAGUGGCUGGGACCACCAUCAUCUACACCAUGACUGGGCUCCCUGAUAAUGAGGAGGGGGUUUUAUAAUGGAUUUAUUCAGAGGUAAUUCACACACUGUAGGAUUCACCCAUUUAAGCAUACAAGUCAAUGACUUUAGUAUAUUCAUAGAAUUUUAUAUCCAAACCACAAUCAAUUUUACAACAUUUUUGUUACCCUAAAAAGAAACCUCAAACUUUUUAGCCUUUAUAUGCCAAUUUCUCCAUCCCCUUUCAGCCCUAGGGAGGAGCCACUAACGUGCUUUCUCCACAGAUGUCCCUCUUCUGGGCAUUGCACGUAAACGGAAUCGCUGUGUGUGAUCUCCUGUGUCUGGUUCCUCUCACUUAGCAUGUUCCCAAGGUUCCUCCUGUCUGUAGCCUGUAUCACUACUUCAUUUAUUUUUAUUACAAAUAAUAACCUGUUGUAUGCAUAUACCAUAUUUUAUUUAUCCACUCAUUAAUUAAUGAGAAGUAGGGUUAUUUUGGCUACUGUUUUGGCUUUUUGGCUGUUUUUAAUAAAUACUGUUACGAUCA
rnacentral:lncRNA from 1 species